rnacentral:rRNA from 1 species
UAUAGAUGGAUCCGCGCUGCAUUAGCUAGUUGGUAAGGUAACGGCUUACCAAGGCAACGAUGCAUAGCCGACCUGAGAGGGUGAUCGGCCACACUGGAACUGAGACACGGUCCAGACUCCUACGGGAGGCAGCAGUAGGGAAUCUUCCGCAAUGGGCGAAAGCCUGACGGAGCAACGCCGCGUGAGUGAUGAAGGUCUUCGGAUCGUAAAACUCUGUUAUUAGGGAAGAACAUAUGUGUAAGUAACUGUGCACAUCUUGACGGUACCUAAUCAGAAAGCCACGGCUAACUACGUGCCAGCAGCCGCGGUAAUACGUAGGUGGCAAGCGUUAUCCGGAAUUAUUGGGCGUAAAGCGCGCGUAGGCGGUUUUUUAAGUCUGAUGUGAAAGCCCACGGCUCAACCGUGGAGGGUCAUUGGAAACUGGAAAACUUGAGUGCAGAAGAGGAAAGUGGAAUUCCAUGUGUAGCGGUGAAAU